UAGCUAGUUGGUGAGGUAACGGCUUACCAAGGCGACGAUCUGUAGCGGGUCUGAGAGGAUGAUCCGCCACACUGGAACCGAGACACGGUCCAGACUCCUACGGGAGGCAGCAGUGGGGAAUUUUGGACAAUGGGGGCAACCCUGAUCCAGCCAUGCCGCGUGAGUGAAGAAGGCCUUCGGGUUGUAAAGCUCUUUCGGCCGGGAAGAAAUCGCAUGGGCCAAUACCCUGUGUGGAUGACGGUACCGGAAUAAGAAGCACCGGCUAACUACGUGCCAGCAGCCGCGGUAAUACGUAGGGUGCGAGCGUUAAUCGGAAUUACUGGGCGUAAAGCGUGCGCAGGCGGUUUUGUAAGACAGGCGUGAAAUCCCCGGGCUCAACCUGGGAACUGCGUUUGUGACUGCAAGGCUAGAGUACGGCAGAGGGGGGUGGAAUUCCACGUGUAGCAGUGAAAUGUGUAGAGAUGUGGAGGAACACCAAUGGCGAAGGCAGCCCCCUGGGUCGAUACUGACGCUCAUGCACGAAAGCGUGGGUAGCAAACAGGAUUAGAUACCCUGGUAGUCCACGCCCUAAACUAUGUCAACUAGGUGUUGGGUGGGUAAAACCAUUUAGUACCGUAGCUAACGCGUGAAGUUGACCGCCUGGGGAGUACGGCCGCAAGGUUAAAACUCAAAGGAAUUGACGGGGACCCGCACAAGCGGUGGAUGAUGUGGAUUAAUUCGAUGCAACGCGAAAAACCUUACCUACCCUUGACAUGCCAGGAACUUGCCAGAGAUGGCUUGGUGCCCGAAAGGGAGCCUGGACACAGGUGCUGCAUGGCUGUCGUCAGCUCGUGUCGUGAGAUGUUGGGUUAAGUCCCGCAACGAGCGCAACCCUUGUCGUUAAUUGCCAUCAUUUAGUUGGGCACUUUAGCGAGACUGCCGGUGACAAACCGGAGGAAGGUGGGGAUGACGUCAAGUCCUCAUGGCCCUUAUGGGUAGGGCUUCACACGUUAUACAAUGGUCGGUACAGAGGGUCGCCAAGCCGCAAGGUGGAGCCAAUCCCAGAAAGCCGAUCGUAGUCCGGAUUGCAGGCUGCAACUCGCCUGCAUGAAGUCGGAAUCGCUAGUAAUCGUGGAUCAGCAUGUCACGGUGAAUACGUUCCCGGGUCUUGUACACACCGCCCGUCACACCAUGGGAGCGGGUUCCGCCAGAAGUAGGUAGCCUAACCGCAAGGAGGGCGCUUACCACGGCGGGGUUCGUGACUGGGGUGAAGUCGGAACAAGGUAGCCGUAGGGGAACCUGCGGCUG
rnacentral:rRNA from 1 species